CUUCCGUACAGGAUUCAAAGGGAUGCUGUCUGCCAUCUUUGCUCGGUUACGUAUGAAUGUCGUCACGUCCGGACUAGAGUGAGGGGGAUAUCUGCUGUAAUCUGGAAAUGUGAUUCUAAAGGAUGGUGAAGAAUUGACAGUAAAGGGAGAGGGGGGUAAUGUGAGUGGACUUUGACCAAGGACCUGGUCCACACAUGCAAAAUAGCUUUUUACAUGCUGGGAACAUAAUACAAUUCAACAAUGGUCGAUCUUUGUGUUGCAGUAAAUACUUUAACGCGAUUUAAAUGAAGACACAACUUCGACACCAAACCAAGUGUGAGGAUUUUUAAUGUGGGCUCGACUGGAGCAAAGAGAGCAAAAAAAGCACUUGCUAAAUGGAGGACUACUUUGAGAUGGCUGCUAUUCUCCGGCUUAUUGCCUCCUGUCGGCCAUGGUUUCACAUGAGGUCCGGGGUGUCAGGUCCGCUUCCACCAAUAAAGGCUGUGAUUGACACUAGCGGGAGAGACUUGAGCUCGGAAAAGAAACUGAAUCUCAAUGUAUGAGGGACGCUUGAGGCAAACUGCAGAGAAGUCACCAUACAUGUCCCUCAUGGAAGAAGACCUAAGAUUACCUCAUUAUGGCCUAUAAAAUGUUCUACCUUUGGAUGCUUUUGGAAUACUUUCUAU